GGACAAAUUCAUUGAUUAAGAACUGAAAUUCUCAAAAGCACAAUACAGGACAAAAAGCCUUCAUAUCUAACAUUCAGCUCUCAAUAGCCAAAAAAAAUAAAGCACAAAAUGUAAUUAUCAAUAUUUUCUUGCCAAUUCAUCAUAUGCUAUGAUAGAUCCAUCAAACGGUACUCGACAACAAAUAGAUGUUAGCAUAUAGCACAUCCCUACUACACCAAAAAGUCGGGUAACAGAUUUGAACCAACAUUGACUGACAAUGGCUCUAACAGAUUUGAACCUACAUUGACUGACAAUGGCUCUUGUAUCUUACCAAAUAAGAACACAUGAUCACUGCAACAGCUUCUAGUGACUCUCAGAAAUAUCAUCUUAAAGCUUUGCUUCAAUAAACCAAAAGGCAUAUCAAUUGUUUAACCUAAUAAGAGCAGAAGUAGAUGUAGAUCCACCAAUGAAGCUUCUAAUCAAUGCUUGGCUUUCGUUCUAUACUUGACUUGCUAAGUAUCACCACACCAAUUACAAUGAGUAAGGCACCUGCAAACCACUGAGCUGAUAAUGCUUCCUCAAACAACAAAAAUCCAGCUAGACCAGAGGAGAGGAAAUUCGUGGCAAAGUUCGUCACUGUAGCUUGCAGAGAUGAAAGAACUUUAAGGCUGUUAACGUAACAUCCCCACAUUGUAACAUUACAUAUCACAACCAGACUAUAUCUAACAAACUGAUUGUAAAAGAACUUAGCAGCUAUGGCAGCGAGAGC
rnacentral:misc_RNA from 1 species